rnacentral:misc_RNA from 1 species
GCCUGGACACUACUUCGUAUCUUCCCUCGUGAGCUUCUUCACCGAAUUCCAGCAAAGACAUUAGACCAGUAUUACAGCCGUGACUCAACAAACUGAGCUGAUAGAGCUAGUGGUUUUGCCUUCCGCUCAUUUUAAUCCAUUUCUCAAUAAGAGCGGGCAUGAGUCAUGCGGUUCCUCCAACCAAGUUUCAUGCUCAGCCAUUAAAGUGGUAUGGUUUCUCAACUGGAGUGCAUCUGUUUGUCUAGUUUUUACAGUUACGGAAUUCUUUGUAUUAAGGACCCCGAGAGCUUUUGCGAAGAUUGUAUUUUUCAGUU